UACGAAGGGGGCUAGCGUUGCUCGGAAUCACUGGGCGUAAAGCGCACGUAGGCGGACUCUUAGGUCGGGGGUGAAAGCCCAGGGCUCAACCCUGGAACUGCCUUCGAUACUGGGAGUCUUGAGUGUGGUAGAGGUUGGUGGAACUGCGAGUGUAGAGGUGAAAUUCGUAGAUAUUCGCAAGAACACCAGUGGCGAAGGCGGCCAACUAGAACAUUACUGACGCUGAGGUGCGAAAGCGUGGGGAGCAAACAGG
rnacentral:rRNA from 1 species